rnacentral:rRNA from 1 species
UCCGUAGGCGGGUAAUUAAGUCAGAGGUGAAAUCCCACAGCUUAACUGUGGAACUGCCUUAGAUACUGGUUAUCUUGAGUUUUAGUGAAGUAGAUAGAAUGUGUAGUGUAGCGGUGAAAUGCAUAGAUAUUACACAGAACACCGAUUGCGAAGGCAGUCUACUAACUAACAACUGACGCUAAUGGACGAAAGCGUGGGGAGCGAACAGGAUUAGAUACCCUGGUAGUCC